rnacentral:rRNA from 1 species
GAGUUCAAGUGGUCCAAAACAAGUGGAUUACUUGGACUUGGAUCGAAAAUAUGUAAUGCACCCGUACACGUCCAUGACAGAUCCUC